rnacentral:tRNA from 1 species
GAGGAUGUGGCUCAGGUGGUAGAGUGCGUGCUAGGCAUGCAUGAGGUCCUGGGUUCGAUCCCCAGCACCUCCU